rnacentral:misc_RNA from 1 species
UAACCAAUCCAGCUCGCUGGGUCUUGGGCACCGCCAUCUGGCGGGCCUUAAAAUCAGUGGCGGUACGGCCGGGCUCUGAGCGUAGUAAAUCUUCUCGCUAUAGGGUCCCGGGCGGCACUGGCCAGCAACCCCCCAUUUUUUACA